GAGCGGCGGGCGGCGGCGGGGGGCGGGCACCGGGGCGGUGCACCAGAGCCAUACGCUAAAGCCGUGCCCUGAAUCGUGCGUUGAGCUUUGUGCCACACCUUGCACUGGAGCUGCGCGCUGAGCCUGUGCGCUGCAGCACGUAUCGAGUUGUGCCUUGAGCGGUGCUCCGCACACCGUGCACCAAAAUAUGCAUUAGGCUCUGCGCUGAAGCCGUGCGCCAGGCUAUGUAUGCGUUGAGUGUGGACACAUGAGUGUUUUGCGCUGCGUGCCAAAUCGUGCACAGAAAGUGUUGCACAGAGGCCGUGAGCUGGAGCACACACCCAGGCUGUGCCCCACGGUCACACUGCAGCCCGUGCUGGGGGCCGUGCACCCCGCAUUGCCCCCUGCCACCGAGCUGGGUUCCUCGUGGAGUUGCUCACCCCUCUCUCCCAAUGGUACACGGCAGCAAACAAGGCAAAAAAGCUCGUGGAUUGCGUUAAGGUCAGGGAGAUGCCAACCAACGACUGUCAUGGACAAGCUGCCUCAACUGCUAAAAAAUUAAUUGUAUUUCUUGCCAAAUAAAACAAGUUUGGAUAGUGAGAAAAAGAGAGAAAACAACACCCCCACCCUGCACCCCCUUUUCUCUCAGGAUCAGCCCCAAGCAGGGAAUCUGCUCCGGAUUGGGCCCCUCUUGCGCUGCCCCUGGGGCUGCUGUGGAACCACCUGGAACACUCCGGAACGGCCUGGAACCCUCCAGAACCAUCAGAACCUUCCAGAACUGACUGAAACUCUCCAGAACUGACAGGAACACUCCUGAACUGAACCCCCCCCCCGGAACUGACUGAAAUCCUCCAGAACUGACAGGAACAUUCCUGAACUGAACUCCCCCGGAACUGACUGAAACCCUCCAGAACUGACUGGAAACCUCCAGAACUAACUGAAACUCUCCAGAACUGACUAGAACCCUCCAGAACUGACUGAAACUCUCCAGAACUGACUGGAACAUUCCUGAACUGAACCCCCCCGGAACUGACUGGAACCCUCUAGAACCAGCUGUGUCUGGCAGGGUGCAGCCCUGAGGAGAUGCCUCUCAGCCUACACUGGUGCUGUGCCUGAGCACUCAUCGGGGCCCAGCAUCCUCACAAAGUUCCCUCCUAAAAACGAUGUGAGUGUUGUUGUUAUUCCCCAAAAACCCUGCUUUGGAGUGGGGGACCCCCAACUCUCAAGCACUUCCAGUGCAGGGCAGCCAGGCCAUGAGGCAAGUUAACCCAGCAGAUGCAGAGCAUGGGAGCGUCACAGCCAGACCCAGAGCCAAGGUGUUGAUGCCUGCAACCCAGAUACAGCCCACAGCUUGCCCUAAAGUUCAGGAUUCAGCCCCAGGACUGCACCACUGAUGUCCAUGUGGCCGGUAGGGAUUUUAAUUCCUGGGAUUUGCAGCCAUUGCAAGCGGUCGGAUGUGAAACACAACCUGAGGAAGCCAGCCAGCAACGGCAUGCAGCCUGCUCACAAGUGUUUCUUUCCAAGAGUUUUCACAUUCAACCAACACGGGGAAAAACAGCAAAACUGAAACUAUGGCCAACCUGCUGAAAUCACAGCUCCUCUCGACCAUGGAUUCAUUUCAAAUCUGAAAGAUUUGCUGAGCAUUUCCACCUCCCUGCCAUGGUUCCAGGUGCAGCAGUGCAGGGCUCAGCUGAGCAGGAGAAGCAGCCGCGGUGCUGGGGAAGGAGGUUUCUCUCUUCAGCAGAUGUCACUAUUUCUUCUGGUUCAGCCUCAGGCAGAGGCCGGCACGGUGCCAUCACAGCGGGGCUGUGCUGAGCGUGCCGCGGUCCGGCUGAGAUGGAAAACGAGAAGCCUCAGUGCGCUGCGGCCUCACCUCACUGCUGACGAGGCUGGAUUUGCUGCUUAGGGAGGCAUCAACUGACCUGACAGGGAAACGCACCAAAAGUUCAAGUUUCACCUCAAAUCCAUCUCUUGUUGCUGUGGGAUAGCUCGCGAGACUCAGCUAUCCUCAAGUAGGAAAAAUGCAGCUUUUUCCCCACCAAAGUCCCUGGUUCCCAGUGCAGUUUCCCCAUAAUAGUCCUUUGACAAAAUGCCAACGUAGGCAGAUGAAUGCGAAAACCAUUCCUCUGUUUUCCACUGACUGGUUUAAUUUUCACUUCCUGCCCACUUAUUUCCUCCUAGCGAACCGGCCCUUAGUCCUGCAAAGGGGUCAACGAUGCUGGCCAGCAUUGCCUCCGUGCAGCACACAGGGACAUGCCGUGGGGGACGAGGAUUCAGGACAGCUCGAGGGGCAGCAGUGUAUGCAGCAGUUACACUUUUUCUCUCCAAUUUACAAAAAGUAGGCAUUUUGGAGGAUACUCAGACUGCUUGAUUUUAGCAUAAUCCCAGAACACCACAUACCGCUGCUUUCAACUUAUGGACUGUCACCCCUUUGUUUAACUCAGUCUUUCCUUAAAAUAGAGAGAUUUAAAUUGUUCUGAGGAAGGCUCUGAUCCAGAAUUUGCUUUUGUCACCCACUGUGAUUACAAGACCCAGAAAUGUCAAGACUAAUCUCAGUUUACAUUUCUUUUCAAUACCAGGAUUUUAGCUGUUGCGGAGGGGUCCUGUUCCUCACAGAGGCACCAGCAGUGCCUUGUCCCUGGUGGGAAUCAUGUUCUCCCCAGCUGAAGCCUGUUAAUCAGCCCUAAUUGACCGAGUCUCAUCUGCUGGGUAUGGGUGGCCCCAGGGGGGCUGUACUUUCUUCUCCUCACUUACAAAUAGAGGGUGAGAUAGAAGCUUAAUGGCUGUUUUUUUUUUCAUUUUUCUUUUUUUUUUUUUUUUUUUUUAACGUUUAAGGAGGGAUUUUUGAUGUGAACUUUUUACUUUUUGUAUGAUUGCCUUGAGACUUUGCCUGUAGUGCUUAUUUAUUUAUUUAUAUAUAAAGUUUAGGGUCUUUUUUUUUUUUUCCUUGCUCUGAGUGGAUCCUUGUUGACUCUUCUUCAGAGUAGCUAUGCAUGGUAGGAAACCUAAAAAGCUAUUAUGGGAAUUGUUCUGGGCUCUUAGUAGUGAUUCUUUGUGGCAGAAGAAGAUCUUGUGAAAAGAUGGAUAGGUGCAAAAUGCUCUUAUUUGAGCUGAAAUAGCAACAGAAGGGUCACUCAGCUGAGUGGUGGCAGAACUCAGCUUUGGAGAUGACCGGUCGGCUCAGGGGCACCGUGGGUUGCAGUAAGGAGGGCUGCAGGAUUGUGAGCCUGGGUGCUGCCAAGAAGGAAGAGCAUGGGAGCAUGGCACCAGGAGCAGAGCAGGACCCAGCCGUCAUCAGCUGAGCAACACAUGUGGCCAUGGACGAGCUGCAGGGGAGGCUGACGGCUCUCCUAUGGAGGACUGCCCUUGCCCCAAGGGACACAUGCAGGGGUUGGCUGGAGAGAUGCAGCACUGAAUUCGCCAACACAGCAUCCUGAGUGUGUGGGCUCUCAGAACAGAUAAGAGUCCCAGUCCUCCCUUUGACUUCCUUGUAGAAGAAAGUUACAACAAUGGUUUCACUUGUCUCGAGAGCAAGUCUGUCAUGGCACAGCACACAGCUUCCUUGACCUUCGCUCCUGAGCUCUUCAGGGAAAAUGCUGACCAAAGAGCAAAGAAGUCCCGUGAAAACCAGCACAGGGAAAGAAGGGGAGAAAAUUGACAGAGUACCAGAGUCGCAGUGUGGAUGUGCUUCUGUGGUGGGUGGAAGCUGGCAGAGCCUGGAAUGGAAGUGCAGGGCCCCUGUUACGAGGUUUGUUCUGAUCUGCUCUGAUCGCUAGAGACCUCUGUACACUGUGUUUUCCAGAGUCAUGAUUAAAGCCCAGUACCUGGGGUUCCCUGAUGGCCAUGCGGACUGCGAGGCACGAGCAG